GGUUGUGCACCUGUGUUACAGGUCAUCAGGCCUCCACCACUUCGGAUCGACAAACUGCUUAGAAGUAAAGAAAAGACUAUUAUGGUUACAGUAUAUGCAGACAUGGCACACCAGACUGUUACUUUAGGCUUAUGUAAAAGCUAUUGAUGCAUUAAUCUUGGGUUGCGGACAUCCCAGUAACGGAAAUUCUGCUUCUUUACAUAUCCUCCGAUAUGAAAGUGGGCUUCGUUACUAAAGAAUAUGUUGCUCAUCCGAGUAGCAGCAGGAAAUCUCAACAACAUUACCUCUGCUGUCGAUGAACGUGCACGCAGUGAUAAUCGGGGAUUUUCAACGACAGAAACCAUAAACCGUGGCUACUGAUGGUGUUUUUUUUUUGUUCCUAAUAAGCCUACCUUCCCCGGCUACUAUAUCACCGGGGCGACGACUAAGCUAAUCGUCCUUUCUUUUCAUUCAUACAUCAUCUAAAUAAAAAUACACGUUUUUUUAUUUACAAUAACGUUUGUGUUUACAAAUUUGCCUUUAGGGGGCUGGGAGUUGAUGCUAUUUGAUAAAUUCUUUCUCCCAGCCUCCUAUUUACAAUGGUCUGUUUCUUAAAAUUAAAUAUACUAGACGUGUUUUACAGGAUUACAAUAUAAUAUUGUUUCUUAGCUUACUUAUGUUUCAAUAUUUACAUUAAAUGUUCAUUAAUCAACAGACGGUGUGUCCGGUCUUUUAUUCUUAUACUAAACUAAACUUAUAUAAGUAAAAAUAAAAUUCCCGUAAUGGAUUUAAUUACAGAUCCUAAUCUAUUAAUUAACCCUCGCUUAACACGAUUAUUACUCUGUAUAUUUAAAUGUUGACAAAUUUCCUUAACAUGUUAUAAGAUAAUAUCAAUCCUCUGAUAUAUAUGUUUUGCUUCAUCAGAUUUAAAUCUAGUGAGAGCAUUUUUCAUAGAACUUUCAAUAUUAUCUAAGUUAUAUCUUAUAGGUUUUAUAUCUAAUUUAUGAAUAAUUGCCCACCGUCCUUCUAGUAAUCGAGUUGGUUUGGAUUCUAUUAGAAUUACAUUUUCCGAAGGGGUUAGCUUUCUAAACUUGAAUGCUGUGAUGAAGAAGAUGAGUCUGGAACAAUAUUUAGUUCUUCAACAUGAUAUGAUCGACCAUUACUCAAUUUAUAUUUAUUAUGUGGUUCUAUAUUAGCUAUGGUAAACGGACCUAAGAAUCUAGGUUUAGUUUUGUGUCGAUCUGCCAUGCUAUUUUUUAAAUAAGCUACAUCACCUAUUUUAUAUACUUUAGGGUUUUUUACCUUUUUGUUAAUUCUUUCAUUUCUAACCUUUUUUCCUUGUUUUAAUACUUCGUGUACAUUUUUAUUUAAGUUCUUUGAAAAUUCUCGCUGUUGAGCCGUAUAGUUUUGUAUAACUACCUUGAGAUUGUCAAAGCUAAGUAGUUUUGCCUUUCUUCCAAAAUGGACUUCAAACGGUGUCAUAUUUAUAGAACUAUGCACUGUGUUAUUGUAUGAAUGUGUGAUUAAGUUAAUUUUUUGAUUCUUUUCUAAAUACGACUCUCUGUAAGCGAUAUAAUUCUUGUAUAGUGUUAUGUAAUCUCUCUACUAUAAUCCGAGUUAGAGACUAUUUCAAUUUUCCGGUUUGGUGGC